UCUACACUCCUUGGAAUUGACUCACGGUGCCACCCUUUAUGCCCAAUCGUAAAUAUCAGUUUUUCCCCCACAAUUCUAAUCUCACGUGAUUCAAUUUGCCCAAUCAUGUUAAACUUUUCCCACUGAUCUUCAUUAACCUGCUGAUUUACUUCGAAGCAUGAAAUCCCUUUAUUCAAAAAUGAACCAUAAUUGAUAAUUUCAAAUGGGUUGCAUGGAAGCCGUAAAUCACAGUUGUGAUUCUAAAUUCAAAUUGACCCCCUUCUCAAGCGUCCCCUCCCCCUUCUCCCCCUAUAUAACAUCCCAUUUCGUUUCAUCUAUAUAAGGAGCUUCUUGGCUAUUCAAGACUCAAUCAGAUCCUUCCCGUCGUUUUCCAUGGCUGUGAAAGUUAUGGUGUCUCAACCAUUGAUCUUUCCAAAGAGACUUCGAAUACCCUUCACCCUCCAAGGCGUUGACCUCUCAGAACCAUCUUAUUGAGGAGCCUCUACAGGGUCUAUUGUAGGAGGUGGAGAAGGAUUGUCCUGUUCAAGAAACUCUGGUGGAUUUCAUCUGGAGCCACAUUUUAAAGUAUACUUUCGUGAGAACAAUGUUAGGAGCAGGAAUGAUUUUCAGGCGAUAGGAAACAAGAUGAUCUAGAAAAACUUUGCUAAAGAAGAGAAAGUAUCCAAGGGAGGAAAUGUUGAAAGGAAUCAGCAGGAAGUACUUAAGGUAAUUGUUACAGAAUGCUUACCUCAAACCAAAUCCAAUGUGCCUUCAAUUUGGAAAAGCAAGAAGUACUUAAGACUCCAAUCAUGUUGUUUUACUCGCUUGGGUUUGACAGUUUUGGAACAUGUCAGUGGCGUCUGAUAAAAAGAUGUUGGCAAAGAGUCUGCUAAACCAUUGGAUGACAGUUUCAACUACUUAUAGUUGUCGAUUUGAAUACAAUUAGGAAUUGUAUCUUGAUGUUGUUUAGUUCUGGAAAUUGUAUUAGAGUGAGUGAUUCCUGAUGACACUACUAUUGCACUUUCACCUAAUUAAACUAGGAAUUGAAUCUUUAUUUUGUUUACUUCUGGUAAUUGUAUUGCUAAAACUCUUUUCUUUUUCCAAAAUAGGCAAUGAAAUCAUGGAUUCAAAGUGAAAUUAAAACACGCCAUACUAGCAAUAUUUCUG